UGCGUAGGUGGUCAUGUUAGUCGUCCGUUAAACCCCCGGCUCAACCGGGGAUCGGCGGACGAAACGGCAUGACUAGAGAGCGUGAGAGGUGAAUGGAACUCUAGGUGUAGGGGUGAAAUCCGUUGAUAUCUAGGGGAACACCGAAAGCGAAGGCAAUUCACUGGCGCGUUUCUGACACUCAAGCACGAAAGCGUGGGUAGCGAACG
rnacentral:rRNA from 1 species